AUUGAACGCUGGCGGCAUGCUUUACACGUGCAAGUCGAACGGUAACAGGGAGCUUGCUCCGCUGACGAGUGGCGAACGGGUGAGUAAUAUAUCGGAACGUACCCAGAAGUGGGGGAUAACGUAGCGAAAGUUACGCUAAUACCGCAUACGAUCUACGGAUGAAAGUAGGGGACCUUCGGGCCUUAUGCUUUUGGAGCGGCCGAUAUCUGAUUAGCAAGUUGGUGAGGUAAAGGCUCACCAAGGCGACGAUCAGUAGCUGGUCUGAGAGGACGACCAGCCACACUGGAACUGAGACACGGUCCAGCCUCCUACGGGAGGCAGCAGUGGGGAAUUUUGGACAAUGGGCGCAAGCCUGAUCCAGCAAUGCCGCGUGAGUGAAGAAGGCCUUCGGGUUGUAAAGCUCUUUUGUCAGGGAAGAAACGGCUGUGGCUAAUAUCCACGGCUAAUGACGGUACCUGAAGAAUAAGCACCGGCUAACUACGUGCCAGCAGCCGCCGUAA
rnacentral:rRNA from 1 species